rnacentral:other from 1 species
UGUCCCCUGCGGGGUGCGUGAUGGGCAGCUGAAAUACGAACCGAUAGGUCCAUAGCGGGAGUCGUUUCGGGCGCUGUGUGCACGCCCUCCUCGUCAGAGAGAGGGAAGCCUGAGGUGCUCCGACAUCGGUUCCCACCUGAUUUCAGGGUUCUAUGGAUGUUGCCCACACGGCCAUGCGGCGGGGGACGU